GUAUAUGAAAGAGGCGUCAAGAUAUUUAAGUAUCCUCACGUGAAAGAUAUAUGGGUUACUUAUCUCUCCAAGUUUGUAAGGAGAUAUGGAAAGACAAAACUGGAGCGGGCAAGAGAGUUGUUUGAGCAUGCUAUUGAAAUGACCCCUUCUGAUCAAGUAAAACCUCUGUACCUUCAAUAUGCGAAAUUGGAA